UGCAUAUCAAAUAAGCGGAGGAAAAGAAACCAACAGGGAUUGCCUUAGUAACGGCGAGUGAAGCGGCAAAAGCUCAAAUUUGAAAUCUGGCACCUUCGGUGUCCGAGUUGUAAUUUGAAGAAGGUAACUUUGGAGUUGGCUCUUGUCUAUGUUCCUUGGAACAGGACGUCACAGAGGGUGAGAAUCCCGUGCGAUGAGAUGCCCAAUUCUAUGUAAAGUGCUUUCGAAGAGUCGAGUUGUUUGGGAAUGCAGCUCUAAGUGGGUGGUAAAUUCCAUCUAAAGCUAAAUAUUGGCGAGAGACCGAUAGCGAACAAGUACAGUGAUGGAAAGAUGAAAAGAACUUUGAAAAGAGAGUGAAAAAGUACGUGAAAUUGUUGAAAGGGAAGGGCUUGAGAUCAGACUUGGUAUUUUGCGAUCCUUUCCUUCUUGGUUGGGUUCCUCGCAGCUUACUGGGCCAGCAUCGGUUUGGAUGGUAGGAUAAUGACUAAGGAAUGUGGCUCUACUUCGGUGGAGUGUUAUAGCCUUGGUUGAUACUGCCUGUCUAGACCGAGGACUGCGUCUUUGACUAGGAUGCUGGCAUAAUGAUCUUAAGCCACCCGUCUUG
rnacentral:rRNA from 1 species